CGGGCAUACUCGCGGUAGACAUAGUGGUCACCCGAGCGCUCUCGAUCGCUACCGUCGGCAAAGGCGGUCGGCGAGGCCCGGACAAACGCCGUGGCGAGCGUGAGGCCGCGUGGUUUGAUGUCGCCCUCGUAGACGACCGGCGUCGGCGAUGCGCCGGUGGUCGACCACCCAUACGCCAGUCGGCAUCGAGGCAAAAGCACACCGUGGAACCACUGUCGAUGAUGGGCACCGUUGACGAGGCCGCGGCCGUGCGGCAGCCCACGCGACCAGGGACCCUCGUAGGUGGUCCCGCACUCGAAUCGAGCGAUCGCGUGGCCGUGGGGCGCACCACGCGCCCAUUGGCCGUCAAAGGAUUCGAGAUGUGAAAGGAACCGCGCGACGGCGCCUACGUGCAUGCGCUCGAUGCACGGCGCGCACGGUUCUCGUCCAUGCGCGUCGCACGUGCAAUCACCGUUGCCAAAGCGGUGACGACCACACUGUUUGCGUCGCGACGUUGCACGCUCGCACGAGCACCCAACAUGCGUGUGACGUUGCGCCUGAGACGCAUAAUGCUUUCGACACGACGGGCAGGGGCACGUCACCGAGAGUUUGCGCGCGACGAGCGCGGUGGCCACGCCCCUGCGGGCGCCCUCAAGGGGCCACCUGCCGCGACGCAAAAUCCCCCGCCCAUCGAGGAGAUCGUCUUUAAAGUGGCCCUCCAUAAACACGGCCGGCACGCCUAAAGGAUCAGCGACGUCGGGCGAUCGGCCCGUGUCGUGCUGUGCGGCGCACACGACGCCAUAGCCAUUGAGCCGACCCAUGGCGAGCCGCCCACACACGACGUCGCCCGAUACCAAGAGGCCCUCGCACGACAACUUGUAGGCAGGGGUGCCGCCGUUGUGGCCUGUCGCCGCUUCGUUGAUUGCGUACGUGGCGGUGCGCGAAACCCUCGCGUAGACACGCAUCCAUCGCACGCCAAACGCAGCGGGCAUCGUGUGCAGAUCGGCCCAGUCACUGCCAAAGUCGCGACGCACGAGCACUCGCCACAUGGCAUCGUCGUCCACCACUACUGCCGCCAUCGUGCGACAGGUCGCUGCGAGCGACGCGGCGUCGUUGACACCCGACACGGCGUCCCUCGACAAGAGAGCGCCGACGACGCGCCAGACGACCUCGUGGGGCAUAUCGACGAGCCCGCAAGAGACAUCGUGCAAUGAGGAUUCACAGGUUGCCAUUUGUCUCGCGCCGACAGAGUGGUAGGGUGACGCGCGAGCCGAUAGUCGACUCUGGGGUUUUGCUUUGGCUAUGUGUGGUUUGUGUGUGUGUGUGCGGCGCCACAGGUCUUUCUUUGCUGCCAACGGCGACCAUCGAGGUCCGGCCGGGCCAAUGCGUCUCCCAAUGGCACCUCGCAAAUCAAAAACCCAAUCCCAACCGCCAGAAAAAACAGUGAAAAAAACCCAAUGGAAAAAAGAGAAGAAAAAAAGAGGCCUCGUGUCCUUUUGUUGGCG
rnacentral:lncRNA from 1 species